UGGUAAAAGCACACAUCACUCGCAGAUCC
rnacentral:piRNA from 1 species